GAUGAACGCUGGCGGCGUGCUUAACACAUGCAAGUCGAGCGAAGCACUUGUUUGGAACCCUCCGGGAGGAAAAACAUUUGACUGAGCGGCGGACGGGUGAGUAACGCGUGGGGAACCUGCCUUAUACCGGGGGAUAACAGCUGGAAACGGCUGCUAAUACCGCAUAAGCGCACGGCACCGCAUGGUGCAGUGUGAAAAGCUCCGGUGGUAUAAGAUGGACCCGCGUUAGAUUAGCUGGUUGGCGGGGUAACGGCCCACCAAGGCGACGAUCUAUCGCCGGCCUGAGAGGGCGACCGGCCACAUUGGGACUGAGACACGGCCCAAACUCCUACGGGAGGCAGCAGUGGGGAAUAUUGCACAAUGGGCGAAAGCCUGAUGCAGCGACGCCGCGUGAGCGAAGAAGUAUUUCGGUAUGUAAAGCUCUAUCAGCAGGGAAGAAAAUGACGGUACCUGACUAAGAAGCCCCGGCUAACUACGUGCCAGCAGCCGCCGUAA
rnacentral:rRNA from 1 species